rnacentral:rRNA from 1 species
AUUGAACGCUAGCGGGAUGCUUUACACAUGCAAGUCGAACGAGGGGCGGACGGGUGAGUAAUAUAUCGGAACGUGCCCCGUAGCGGGGGCUAACUACUCGGAAGAGUGGCCAAUCCCGCAAACUAUUGGAGCGGCCGGUAUCGGAUUAGCUAGUUGGUGGGGUAAAGGCUAACCAGGGUAACGAUCCGUAGCUGGUUUGAGAGGACGACCAGCCACACUGGGACUGAGACACGGCCCAGACUCCUACGGGAGGCAGCAGUGGGGAAGUGUGGACAAUGGGGGAAACCCUGAUCCAGCCAUCCCGCGUGUAUGAGAAGGCCUUCGGGUUGUAAAGUACUUUUGGCAGAGAAGCGGUAUCUGCAGAAUAAGCACCGGCUAACUACGUGCCAGCAGCCGCGGUAAUAC